GAGGAGUGAUCCCAGGGAGCAGGAGUGCAUCCCAGAUUCAGAGAGAGCCCAUUAAAGGGUGCAUGAUUGAGCUGCUUCCCGCUGUGGGCAAUUGAGGCUCAGUCCUGCUGGGAACUCUUUGAAGAAUCAUGUUGGAUGAUCCUCAGAAUUAUCCAUCCGAAACCCAGAAGAGGCGGAUAUUUAUGCACCAGUCCUUUCCCCUGUUGGACCAGGGCUAACCCAGGGUAUAUUAAUUCCCUCAUACUUCCAGGUCUCUUCGUGCGUUAGAAGAGCUGUGCACAAUCCAACAAACACCACAGAAGCUAGGGAAGGAAGUAUAAGACAUUGACACAGUAAGGUGACCUGCUAUCAGGUAACAACAGCAUACAGUUGAUGGCCACAGCAAUGCCUGGAGCAAAUGAAUGGGCUGAGAGGAUGCGAGGCAUGGACUCUGGCGCUGACUCUUCUGGCUCCUCCUCCACGUGUAAGGCCCUUGUGACUACACUGGGCACCCUGGAUAAUCAGGCCAAUCUCCUUAUUUAAGAAUGCCACUCACUGUGUGAAGGAACUCAUCUGGGCCCAUCUGCAUCAUUCCUGCUGGACUGAGAGGCAAGAACUGACACAAAUAUGCUGACGCCCAUGCUGUCUCUGUCUGACCCAGCAGUCUCU
rnacentral:lncRNA from 1 species